GUCCCUAUAGUUCAAUUGGAUAGAACACGGGCGUCCUAAGCCUGGGAUCCUGGUUCAACUCCAGGUGGGGGCACCA
rnacentral:tRNA from 1 species